rnacentral:rRNA from 1 species
UACGGGAGGCAGCAGUGGGGAAUAUUGCACAAUGGGCGAAAGCCUGAUGCAGCUAUGCCGCGUGUAUGAAGAAGGCCUUAGGGUUGUAAAGUACUUUCAUCGGGGAGGAAAAACAAAACUAAUAAUUUUAUUUCUUGACGUUACCCGAAAAAGAAGCACCGGCUAACUCCGUGCCAGCAGCCGCGGUAAUACGGAGGGUGCUAGCGUUAAUCAGAAUUACUGGGCGUAAAGAGCACGUAGGUGGCUUUUUUAAGUCAGAUGUGAAAUCCCUGGGCUUAACCUGGAACUGCAUUUUGAAACUGAAAUACUAGAGUAUCGUAGAGGGAGGUAGAAUUCUAGGUGUAGCGGUGAAAUGCGUAGAUAUCUGGAGGAAUACCUGUGGCGAAAGCGGCCUCCUAAACGAAUACUGACACUGAGGUGCGAAAGCGUGGGGAGCAAACAGGGAUUAGAUACC